AUUGAACGCUGGCGGCAUGCCUUACACAUGCAAGUCGAACGGCAGCACGGGAGCAAUCCUGGUGGCGAGUGGCGAACGGGUGAGUAAUACAUCGGAACGUGCCCAGUCGUGGGGGAUAACUACUCGAAAGAGUGGCUAAUACCGCAUACGACCUGAGGGUGAAAGCGGGGGAUCGCAAGACCUCGCGCGAUUGGAGCGGCCGAUGUCAGAUUAGCCAGUUGGUGGGGUAAAGACCUACCAAGGCUACGAUCUGUAGUUGGUCUGAGAGGACGACCAGCCACACUGGGACUGAGACACGGCCCAGACUCCUACGGGAGGCAGCAGUGGGGAAUUUUGGACAAUGGGCGCAAGCCUGAUCCAGCAAUGCCGCGUGCAGGAAGAAGGCCUUCGGGUUGUAAACUGCUUUUGUCAGGGAAGAAAUCCUCUGGGUUAAUACCUCGGGGGGAUGACGGUACCUGAAGAAUAAGCACCGGCUAACUACGUGCCAGCCGCCGCCGUAAAAC
rnacentral:rRNA from 1 species